AGUCCCUAUAGUGUAGUGGUUAUCACGUCUGCUUAACACGCAGAAUGUCCUGGGAUCGAGACCCAGUGGGACUA